rnacentral:lncRNA from 1 species
CCUUUUUUUUUAUCUCUUCAGUAAGAUAGAAACCUCGAGCAUAGAUUUCCUCGAGGGUUUCCCUACGAAAUUGGCAUUUGGCAAGUUUAGCAACCCAAUAUGCUCGAGUUUGAGCGGUCUCGGCUGCCUCUCUCGCUUGUACUUGAGCGGCUUCAGCAUCGGCCCGAUAGACGGCCACGAAUGCAUCCGCCUCGGCCUUUGCUUUUUUAGCUCCAAAUUUGGCCUUGGCAAGUUCGGAAGCUAACCGAGCCUCGAGCUCCUCUAUUUUUCUUGCUUGAACCGAGCUCCUCUCCUUCAUGCCCUGAAGUUGACUUUCGGCCGAUGAUAAUUGGGCUCGAGCAACCUCUUUCUGUGCAGCAAGGCGGUCCAUACCUUCUUUCCACCCCAAGGUCUCCGCCUUUAUUAUAUCGACCUCCUCACGGAGCUGCCUGAUCAUCUCAAGCUUCUGCUACAGUUGUGAGAUCGAAAUAUUAGCCUCCAAUCUCGAAUCGAACCCAUGAGUUUUUAAGAUUUUCAUUACUUGCUUGGUCAGAUCGGUCUGAUCUUUGUGAGCCUUGGUCAACUCGGCUCGGAGGUCCUUGGUCUCCUAUUCUCUUUGCUUAAAAAGAAGUCUGAGGGCAUUUCUCUCCCCUGUGAGUGUUUGAAGGUCGGCCUCGUACCGACUCAGCUCAGCUCAAGACCGAGAACAUGCUUCCCGAUGAAGCGCAGAGGCCUACACAGAUAGAAAAGAAGUUCGAAGAGGAGAAUAAACACAGAUAAUAAUAACCAAAUUGAGAGUUAAGGCUUACCCGAUUCAGAGCUCGAUGUACUUCAUUAAAAAGGCCUGAUGCCUCACCCAAGUCCUUCCUCGAGACUUCCAAAUCGCUCAGGCCGGUAGCUUCUUCGACCCCAGUAAAAUAAUCACGAAAUGGAUCUUCCCUUCCAUGGCCUCCUUCGACAGAAAGGGUCUUCAAGGCCCGAGCCUCUCAAAUCAUUUCCUCAGAAAACGAGGGGAGCAACGGGGAACCUCCAAUUUCUAUUGCCCCAAUUGAAUUACUUGGGGCGUUCUCUCUAUCUUGAGGGGCCUCGAGACCAGCCCCCCCCCCCCAGCCGUACCCACCAUUGACUCAUUAUGGUGGGAGGUAGCCUCGAUCCUUGAUGACUCGGGGACUUCGACCAAUUCUCUUCCCGAGACUCCCUCGUCACAAAAUAGAUCUUUGCGGCCUUCAUCGAUUCAGUAACCUUUGGAGCCUCGACGUCUUUCUUCACUCGAGCCACCAGUAUGGACCCGUUGUUUUCUUCUUCCUCUUCGUCUUCAUCCCUCAGACGCCGAAAUGACUCUUCGGUCAAAGGGAUGGUGUUCUUCCUCGGCUUACGAGCUGUCUUUGUCUUAAGUGUUGGAUCCUCGGACGUAGAGGCCCUUUUUCUUUUGCUAUCCUUCAUCGGUUUUGGAACCGGGGCCGAAGUCUCUUCCUCGCCAGACGAGGGGCCCAUGACCGCAUCUUUGCCCAGGCCAACACACAAAAGAAUUAGUUAAGUAUAAGAAAGUCAUUUCGUUCUAAUCAUCGAAUGCAUGGUGAAGAGGCUUACCAUGAUUUUUAGCCUCCCAUUGGCCCUUUGACAAAUCGUGCCACGAGCGCUCGGCAUAUGUGGAGGUCGAAGCCAGGUUCCGUACCCAACUCUUAAGGUUAGGAAUAGCACCGGGCAUCCAAGCAACCGCUACAUCACAAAAAGGAUAUCGGUAAGAAACAAAGGAGCAAAACAAUGGGAGCUAACAGUAGAAUCAUACUUACGCUUCGUGUUCCAUUCCUCGGGAAAUGGUGUCUUCUCGACCGGGAUUAGGUCCGAAGUCUUUACUUGAACGAACCUUCCCAUCCAGCCCCGGUCUUUGUCCUUGUCUAUGCUCGAGAACAUCACUUUGGUAGCCCGUCGCUGGAGUUUUAUUAACCCACCUCGAUAGAGGCGGGGGUUGUACAACCUAAUGAGGUGGUCGAGGGUGAAAGGCAUCCCCUCGACUUUGUUCACAAAGAAACGGAUCAAAUAACGAUCCGCCAAAAAGACGGAUGGAUUUGGCCCAUGGUUACUCGGUAUUGGCGGCAAAAAUCGAUGACAACAAGGUCGAGGGGGACCAAUGUGAAAAGGGUAGGUAUACACAUUAAAAACCCUUUCACAUGGGUAGUAAUACUUUCUUCGGGAGCCGGGAUUAUCACUUCUUUGUCCUCCCAAUUGCAAUAUUUCCUUAACUGUUUAAGACGACUCUCGGUUACCGAGCACAUAUACCUCGAUACUGGCUUGCAUCGACCGGGAACCGGCGAAGCUUUGUCAAUCUUAAAAUUGGAGGUAAGAACACACUCCCCGGGAACACACCCUUAGGUCGUGGCUCCACCGGCGUUUUGUCGUUGACGGGCUGCGAAGAAGAAGCAUUUUAUUUUUGAGGAACGGUUUUUGACGUUUUCGCCAUUGGGAUUUGAAGAUUGAAGAUAGAAGGAGAUGACGAAGGUUUGGUGUUUUAAAGAGAGAUUUUGCAGUAAAAAUCACAGAUUUACAGAUGAAGAACUCAGAAGACGCAAGAAAGAACUUAGAAGAUUUGGAAAUUGAAGAUGUAAAAGUAAAGAAUGAUAAAAAGAUGAGCUAUUUAUAGGGUUGGCAAUGACGGUUAAAUGUCAACAAUGGCCGACCAUCGUCUGACAUGUAUUUAAUGCCUUGGUUAUUGAACCGACAAGACAUCUACCACAUACGUCAUGGUCGGGCUUGAUGCAAACGUCAGUGUAUAUCGAGUCAUACCGCUUGAAAAUCAUAUCGUUUCUCGCCACAUUCUUACCGAGAAACGAGGGGACCAUCUAAAUACGGUCAAAAUCAGUUUCGAUCUUCGUAUGAUUAGUCAAAAUUGAAACAUAAUGGAUCGAAUGUCAUCUUCGUAAUAUCGGGUAUGAGAUCCGAAACCAGGUUACCAAGCUCAAAUUUCAGGGACCAAUUAAGUACCGAGCUCGAAGUCAAUAUCGAGCUCGAUUCCAAAUCGAACAAUGACGUGAGGCGGUGUUAUCGAGCAUAAAAGCCAGAGACCGACCAAUACCGAGUCAAAGUUAAUACCGGCCCCCGAGCCAAUAUCGAGCUUUAAACCUGGAAAUCGACCAAUACCAAGUCCGAUCAAUAUUAAGCCAAGAGACAAAAUCUAUUACAGCCGCACUAAGAAGAGAAUCUCGGCGGAAAUUAAGGAAAAACUAUUCUAUCAUGGGCUCCCCACUAUGUAUUUUUAAUUAUAUCUAAAGUAGGAUCUCUCCACUAUAAGAGGAAUAGUUGUUAUUUCUUUAAAGGGCAGAACAUCAAGGCAUACAUACACCCUUAUAUUCAUAUAUUACUAUUGACAGAGAAAUACGGUAGAGAUUAUCCUCUUGUGAAUUUUAUACAUUGAUUCAUCUCGCCAGUUUAUAAAAUCACUUUUUAAUUCAAUAUUGGUUCGUAUUUCAUUCUUUACAAGUCAAUAUUUGAUAUAUUUCUACUUACUUUCCGAUUUGUGUCAAGUUAUACCGCGUAUCCUUAGAACUACGUACAAAUUCAACUCUAUCUGUAUUUUGGAUAAACAACUAUGUUGAUUAAUCUUUUACUUACAUAUAUAUUGUGAAUAUUUUUUGUUAUAUAUCUAUGUAUAAUGUUGCAGUUGUAUAUCUCAUCAAAUUUAUGUUAUUUUUUUCAUUGCGUAUUUCAUUCUCAAUGAACUAACUGUUGAAAUUUGUUUGGUUCUAUUAAUUUAUUUGUGACAUAUAACUUUUCUACAAUUAGUAAUAUGAAAAAAGUAUCUGAGUUUUAACGAAAAGUUGGAGGGGAGAAAUAUCUUUUUCUUUAAUUUUAGUGUAAACCUUGUGAAAGAAAUUAAAAAAGAGGAGAUUGAUACAUACUGCCAGUCCUUUGUUUAGAAAAUAGGAAAGAGCUUCCUCCAUACUUUUGAGUUUCAAGAGUAAAUUGUGUGAAGAAAAGAAUGAUUAUACAGCGAAAGAGACCUCUGGAGCCUUUGCAAAAGCCAUUAACUGUUUCUGGAAUUUUGAUCAAUGAAAUUCUUUGUAAGCUUUUUAGUUCCCCUUUUUAUGCCAUGCAUGUUCACCAUUUUUUACUCUUUAUUUUUCUUUAGUUUCUAAUUAAACCAAUUUUAAUGAAGGUCCUUUUUUCCUCUCUUUUUAUUUUAUUGGGGCACUUUGUCUAACUUUAUAAAUACCUAGGACAAGUCAGUUCAUUUUAGUUUGAAUUAAUACUACAAUAUUUGCAAAUAGUGCAUAAGCACCAUGCUUUUACAACCUUUUUUACUGUGCAUUUUCUUUUAUAUCUGUUAAACUAUAUUCCAAGUCUCACUCUCGGAUACUUCAGUAGAACUUUAUGCGCUUUGUUUGACAAUGUGUAUUUAGUAAGUAGUUGAUUGAUUUUUUAAUACCUUUUAACGUAUAUAUUAUCUUCUUUGUUAAUAUAAUGUUCGUUCUCUUGACAUAUGAAAAUUUUAACUAUUUAAGCAAGAUGACACAGAGGUACACUAUAUCUAUCUAUACUCUAUUAAAAUUAUGAAGGCCCGUAGAGAAAUAUUAUUUGUCCUUUUUACCUUAGACAAAAUUAUUAUUUAAUUAUUUUUCUAAUAUUUAAGGAUAUGAAAUCAACUAAAAUUUUGAUUAUUAAAUCUUUCCUUGAUUAUUCGAUUAUAUUGGAAGUCUUAAUGUUUUAGACUUUAAAAUCAAUUUUAAUAUAAUCAUUUUUCAAUUACGUUCUUUAUUUGAUACUUCUUUUUUGUAUUAUUAAUACAAAACCCUUUUUGGUGAUGCCUGGAUAUGUUGGAUACGAAAUCAGAUACUCUAUAAGUAAAUGAAAUUAAAUAUAUAUCAUUUUAAUAAUUUUGGAGAGUAAUAUGUUAUUCCAUCAAGUAUAAAAUUAAUUCUGGAAAGAAUUACUCCGGCAAAAAUGAAACCAAGUGUGACAACUUUAUUAAUAUUGGUGUAUUACUAUAUGUUAUAGUCUUUCAUCAUAAACCUUGUUUUAAACAUAUUCAAUUAUAUUUUAUAACUUUUUAUAGUGCGGACAAUUAUUUUAAACAUAUAGGCUUUAAUAUGAUCCAAUUGUCACUUUUUAUAGUACCACUGCUCAUAUUUUGCGAGUAAAUAAUUAAAAAAAAUUACUUCAAAAUAUUUGAAUAUAUGUCGAUGUGCAUGUCUGAAGAAUAUCUUUAAUUCUAAGCCACUAAAAUUUAUUAAAUCUAAAAAUUUAAGGAGCCUAGCAAGUAAAGAGAAGAAAAGGAAAAAAUAUUCAUUAAACAUGCCUUGAAAUAUAAACUUUUGUUCCUUGAUAGUAAAAACUUCGAGUUAUAUGAUGGACAAUUAAAGAAUAUUAAAUGCCAUUUUGUUAGACUAACUCAACUUGUAAGAGAGUAACCAUUAAGAUUGAGAAAAUAAAAAAAUACUCAAGCACCCUUAAGCAAAUGUAAAAUUAAACAAAUAAUUUUUUUUAGUUAAUUGUAGGGGCGACUCAAUGAAAUUAAUGGUCUAAAGCCAAAUUAUAAUAAGAGGCAUUAAAACUAUAUUAUGAAAUUCUUGUACUAAUGAGAAAAAAUAAAAUGAUUUAUUUUUCCAUUUAUGGAUCAAUCAAACGAGACAAAAAAAUAGUUAUUUUAGAAAUUGAAAAGUUAAAUCAUAAGAAGCAUAAAUAUGAAAUAAAUAUAGUAGAGGAGGGAAAAUCAAACUUAAAGAGGGAGAUAAAAGUACUAAUUAAUAAGAGAGCAAUUUUUUUAUCAUAAUUUUUUCACUCAUUCAAAUAACUUUAACAAAAUUAAACAAAAAUAUAUAAUUUACAACAUUUUACUAAGGAUAAUCAUACAUAUUAAGAACAUAGUCUGCAAAAAAAUGUUAGGUCAAGUAUAAAAACAUAACAUAUUAUAAUUAUCUUCAUAAACAAAUAUAAAUACAAAAAUUAUAUAAUUAAUCUACCAAAAAUUCUUAAUCACAGCAAGUUCAGAAGAUACCCAAUAACACUGUAUUUAAAUAUUUCGUCAAUAUACAUUUAUUUUUCAAUUUAAAUUAAUAUUGCAUUUAUCUUGACGAUAAUUGCUAUUACACAUAAUUUAUUCUUAUUAUUUUUUUUUAUUAAUAGACACAAAAAAUACGUGCAACACACGUACACUAAAUCUAAUAUAUAUAAUAAUAGAAGGGGGUCUAUAUAUUUAUCCAAUUCAUCCCAUUCUUCUUUUCUUUAUAGUAAUAGUACAAGUACAUUAUUUCAGUAAAAUUCGCUUCAUUUAGUUUAGUUUAGUUUUAGUUUAGGUUUAUUAUGUAAAAUAAAAUUCAAUAAAAAAUAAAAUAAAUAAAAAUAAGAAUUAAUUCGAAAUACUAAAUAAGAAAUAAGAAUAAAGAGUCUUUAUGUCGCGUUACCGAGGACCUGAAAAUUGACGGUCUUGAAAUUUGACCCCGCUUGAUUCAUGAGUAAAUCUUUAAGGUCAAAAGUCAAAAGUGUUGCUCAUAUGACAAGCGAUAGAUAACACGUGUUGAACUUGAAGUUCUGCCAAUGAGGCAAGCGGAGUAAAAAAAUCAAUAGUAACACCAAAGUGUCUUAUUUUUAUCAAUCACCAUGCGGAAUGGUCUUGACAAUCCAUGUUAAAUGAAGAACUAAACUAAUAGUCAUCACCUAAUCGUUUAAAUUUAAAAUAGUUCAUAGUGUAUAAUCCAUGUAUAUAGGGUAAGAAAAAUAUAUAGUUAAUCUGGCCGCCUAUUUGUGUAAAUAUCCCAUGUUAAAUGCGAAGUUGGCCUAGCCCAUAUAUGCUCCAACCAAGUAUUGACAAGCCUACCGGUGAAGUGCACUAGUAGCCACUUUUAAACCUACUAUUUUAAAUAUAUCAAUAAUUUACAAUAUAUUUAAAGAUUAAUUAAUUCACCCAAACUUCAUGACUAAGAAUCACGAAUUUUUGUAUCCUAAAUUUUUGAGUUGCUAUUUGGAAUUCAGGACUUAGUAUCGUAACUUUUUUAGUUGUCAAUUUGAAAUUCAGGACUAAGUAUCAUGAAUUUGUGAACUGUUAAUUUAAAAUUUAGGACAUAAAAUUCUAAUUUCUAGAUGCAAUAUUCAAACUUUAGGACACAAUGUCUGAAAUUUGAACCUUGAGGUUUAAACUUCAGGACGUACUAUGUUCUGAAGUUUGAGUGAAUUGACUAGUCUUUAAAUAUACUGUAAACUGUAAGUAUAUUUUAAAUAACAUCUUUAAAAGUGGUUACCCGAUGUCAUUUCCACAUACGUACCUCCCUUUCUUACGUUUGGCAAGUUAUAUCAACUCAUUUCUCCCAAAGUAAACUCAUUUGCGUAGCUAAAAAAAUUAACAUUUAAAUUCCUAUGGUGUAUCCAAAAUCGAAAUUGGGGACGGGGUAAAGCUAAAUUUGUGAUUAACGGAUUUAUUAUUUUAACAUUGAUGAUUUCUUCUUAGAAGUUGUAGGGUUGGGGUGGCUUACUGGGUGAGACUGAUAGAAAGAAAGGUCGGGGGACAACCAUGCAUGGUACUUCUUGACCAUGUCUUCGAUGGACAGUUGAACUAGCGACUCAUGAAUGCUGCCGCACACAGAUGACAUUUAUCUUUCUCAUGACUACUUAGUGUGUCUCAGCAACCGUGUCAGAGAGAAGGAAGAGGGCUCUUUAUCAGUAUCAUAGCGGGAGAAUGAAAGCAUUAGUAGGAAGAUCUUUUGUUCGAUCUGCCUUUGGGUGGGGCGAUGAUUCCUGAGCGGAAGGUACGCCCAAUCCCUGAUACAAUACUUUUUCUUAAUCCUUGCGGCCAAGGAUAAUGAGUCGGUUGGUUGUUAGAGUAUAGCCUCUCUCGGGGUUAGUGAUAAGAGUACACCAGUUCGUGUGGUAACGGGGCGAACUAAGAAUUUCGUAUUUGAUUGAAAGAUCAGACAUAGCCGAGUCAAUUAAAGUGAAACUAGUCGUUAUUGAAGUACGAGGUAAGUGAUAAUUCUAACCAUAAUUUUCUUCUCAAGCUUUGACUAAGUCAAAUAUUUUAACAUUGGUGAUUUCUUCUUCAAGGUUUGACUGAGUCAAAUAUUUAGUCAAAGCUUUAUGCUCAUAAAUUUCAUGUCAUGAUCUAAGAAUUGGUUUCUUCAUGUUCUUACCUCUUUUCUUUUUAUUUUUUAUUUUUUUACAAAACCUCUUAUUUAUUUCACUCUGUUUAAUGACAUGGACAUUUAUUUUCAACUCCCUGUGUGAUGUAAGAGAUAGAACUCAAUACAACUUCAUCUCUGAAUAAAUACGUUCACAUUUGAAUUUUCCAUUUUUUUCAAUAUUGAUUGGUUUUGAUUAUAUCCUUCUUUUUGUAAAAAAUAGGGUGGAAAAUUAUUCUAGGACCAUGACUCAAGGAUAAUGUUGUAGAUAAAGGCGAAUCUAAGUUUUUUUUAACAUGGGUGCACUACUAAAAAAAAUGAUAAAAAAAAAGUAUUCAGUGGGAAUCAAUCUCUCUGCUCCUUUGGGUAAAUAACUUAGCACCUAACCAAGUACACUAUUUAGCUUUUUUUUGAGCAUGAGUACCAGCAAACAAUAUUAAAUCAAUUAUAGAAAAUAUAUACAUAAAAUAUCUAAUUUGACAGAGAGAUCACGAGUUCACGUACCCCAUAAAAUGGACUAUAAAGCCAUGGUAGAAAUAAAGUGAAUUAGGGAUAGAAUUAUCUCACUAAAUCUUAUACACAGAAAUGAGACCAUCAAAGUCACUGGUGCUCAUAUAAACUCUUAUCACAUAAUUAUUGUAUUAACUAAUUUAUCAUUUAAUAUAACCAUCUAGUAUUCAAUACUUAUAAACUGAAAUAGUCUUAAAAAAAAAAACUAGUCUAAAUGCAUGCACCUUUACAAAUGUUCCAUCUUAAUAAUAACACACAAGUUUUUAAAGUCCAGAUCAAGGUAGACCCCACCAGUAAUAUGCAAGGACAGAAGGUGUAAGGUACGAGUGGCCACACCAGAUGUCUCCUCGGGCUGGAAAAGAAAAGGAAAAAUAUAAAUUUUUAAUUGUUUCCAGAAAUAUAUUUUUAGCUAACAAAUAUAAUUAAUUUGCCAAACAGAGACCAAAGACUGAAAAAAGGCAGCUCCUAUAGCUAAGACAACGUUCAUUCAUUUACUCGCUCUCGUGUUCAUUUUCUCUUCUUCUCUUUUUGUGUUCUUCUACUGUUACCUUCUUCUCGCUACUUUUUAACUCUCUUCAUCCGUCGUUGUUUUUUUACCGCUGCUGGUGGUAAAGACUUUGUUUUUACAGCUUUUCGGUUUUGCAAAAAUUGAUCGGAUAAAGUCAAGUCUUGUCGAUUGAGG